CUAAGAAAGCCGGCCAAAUCUGCACUCAGCCCCACGGAUGGCGCAGAUGUGUGUGACCAGCCCCCCUCGGCCUGCAGAAGCUUACCAUCGAGCCUAGGGGACAGCUAUCCAGAGGGAAACAGGCACCGGGGGCUCAGUGGGUCAUGGGCUUUGAGGUAUGCAGAAGCAGUCCAGGCAGUACAAUCAGCCAAAACUGAUUAUGAAUUCUGGUUAUACAGCUUCCCAGCUGGGGAACCUUGAGCAAUUCAUCCACCUCUCUGGGCCCCGGUUAUGAAUAAAAUAUAAAAGAAAAUGCAGGCCACAUGAGUUUUGCAGAGCAGACGUAGAAAGCAGAGAAUGAAAAAAAGAAAAAGAGGAGAGAUCUGAAGCCAGAAUGGGCGUCAUGCAAGAGGCUCUAGAGUUGCAGACAGUUGCAGCCCAGAUACGACGUGCAAAGAGAGACAUCCCAGAUCUCCCACACAGAACUCCGGCGCGCUUUGAAGUGUUGACAACACAUAAAAUUAAAAGCAUCACAAUGCGAAUUAUCACGUUGUUUUUUCCACUUUGAUAGCCUCUACAAAGCAUUUUAUACCGAUGAAUCAAUACAAAUGUCUCUUUAUAAAGACAUUGGAAACAAAAAGAUACAUUUUUUUUUUUCCUUAAGAGAAACCGACACAACUAACAAAAAGAUUUCAGCCCUGGCUUGCAGGAUAGCUCUAGGUAACAUAGUGAGUUUGUCUCUCCUUUUCACAGUGGCCUUGGAGGUCACUGCUGUCUACUUGCUUGGGUCAAUCAUUCAGCCUCCGGAUGAAUGUUCUGCCUGCUGAUUAGUCAGCACCAUGAGAUGAGACAAACAAGCCACAAUUGCAUUGCUAUUGCCUCCUGACUGCACACACAUGUGUGUGCACAUGUAUAAGAAUAUAUACAGUGUGUGUAAAUAUAUAGAGGCGUGUGUGUGUGUGUGUGUGUAUUUUGUGGUUUGGUAAAAUAAAGCUUGCAAAUUAGGAUUAAUUUAUAACUCGUUAUAAUUGGAUUAUUGGCUGGGACUCCCUUUAUGUUACAGCAGAUGGACUUUUGCGUGAAAUAUUUUCCCUGAGUUGCUAUAGAGAUGUGCCAAGAUCUCUCUGCUGAAGUGAUUCCCCGCAGGCCUGUUUGUUGUUGUGCCCGGUGCCGAAUCACUUGCAGGCUGAAUCACUUACAGCCCUCACAGAGGCUGAUGAAAGAG
rnacentral:lncRNA from 10 species